UGAGUUCACACGAGGCUUAAACCACGACCGUGGUUUUCGGUAACACAGUUCACGGUUUGUGUAAACAGAUACAAUUCGUUCUUCAAGAUUUUGAUUGGUAUUAUAGAUUUCUUCGGUGGUUUUACUAUGAUAUGUGUUUUGUAAACCACAUUUCCAAAAGAAAUAUUGUUUUUGUCAAAAAACGAAAAGUGAGUUUUUUUAUAGCAUUUUGUUUCCUUUGAGAAUGCAAUUUUUUGAUUUUCUUAGUAGCUCU